rnacentral:rRNA from 1 species
GACGAACGCUGGCGGCGUGCUUAACACAUGCAAGUCGAACGGAAAGGCCCUGCUUUUGUGGGGUGCUCGAGUGGCGAACGGGUGAGUAACACGUGAGUAACCUGCCCUUGACUUUGGGAUAACUUCAGGAAACUGGGGCGAAUACCGGAUAGGAGCUCCUGCUGCAUGGUGGGGGUUGGAAAGUUUCGGCGGUUGGGGAUGGACUCGCGGCUUAUCAGCUUGUUGGUGGGGUAGUGGCUUACCAAGGCUUUGACGGGUAGCCGGCCUGAGAGGGUGACCGGCCACAAUGGGACUGAGAGACGGCCCAGACGCCUACGGGAGGCAGCAGUGGGGAAUAUUGCACAAUGGGCGGAAGCCUGAUGCAGCAACGCCGCGUGCGGGAUGACGGCCUUCGGGUUGUAAACCGCUUUCGCCUGUGACGAAGCGUGAGUGACGGUAAUGGGUAAAGAAGCACCGGCUAACUACGUG